rnacentral:rRNA from 1 species
UUGGAGGGCAAGUCUGGUGCCAGCAGCCGCGGUAAUUCCAGCUCCAAUAGCGUAUAUUAAAGUUGUUGCAGUUAAAAAGCUCGUAGUUGAAUUUCGGGAUCAAAUUGUCGGUCGUGCCUCGGUACGCACUGGUAUUAUUGGUUCCUACCUUCUGAAGAACCGCGAUGUCAUUAAUUUGGUGUCGUGGGGAAUCAGGACUGUUACUUUGAAAAAAUUAGAGUGUUUAAAGCAGGCUUACGCUUGAAUACAUUAGCAUGGAAUAAUGAAAUAGGACGCUUGAUUCUAUUUUGUUGGUUUCUAGGAUUGACGUAAUGAUUAAUAGGGAUAGUUGGGGGCAUUAGUAUUCAAUUGUCAGAGGUGAAAUUCUUGGAUUUAUUGAAGACUAACUACUGCGAAAGCAUUUGCCAAGGAUGUUUUCAUUAAUCAAGAACGAAAGUUAGGGGAUCGAAGACGAUCAGAUACCGUCGUAGUCUUAACCAUAAACUAUGCCGACUAGGGAUCGGAUGAUGUUAAUUUUUUAAUGACUCAUUCGGCGCCUUACGGGAAAC